rnacentral:rRNA from 1 species
AUACGGAGGGGGCUAGCGUUGUUCGGAUUUACUGGGCGUAAAGGGCGCGUAGGCGGUACGCGAAGCUAAGGGUGAAAUCCCGAGGCUCAACCUCGGAAUCGCUCUUGGAACUGGCGAACUAGAGAUAGUUAGAGGCAAGUGGAAUUCCUGGUGUAGAGGUGAAAUUCGUAGAUAUCAGGAGGAACACCGGCGGCGAAGGCGGCUUGCUGGAACUUAUCUGACGCUGAAGCGCGAAAGCGUGGGGAGCAAACAGGAUUAGAUACCCCAGUAGUCC